UUUCAUGGAUCCCUAAUAUUCUGAACUCUUCUCUCCGUAUAUUCUAGUAAGUCCGUCGAGGAAUUUCUAAUUAAAAAAGGUACACCAAAUUUAAUGGGAUGGAUUUAGAUAAAUGUACUAAAAAUCAUAUUGAAAUUAAAACUUGACGAGAAAAAUCGGUUGGCCAGGAAGCGGGAGGGUUUUCAGCUGUUGAAUUACAUUUAUUCGGCGCGUGCAAGGGAACCACGCCUGCAAAGCCAUUACGCACCUGCAUAAGACAGGGUCCCAGUCACUCCCGGAGCACUGGCAACCGGAGUUACACUCAGAGAACAGAGAUGGCUGCUGGUACGACAACCCCUCCACCCUGGACAAACACAAGAGACGGAUAAAGAAACAACUGAAAAGCCACCUUGGCAUUGUCACAGCCCAUGGCGAAGAAGAAGAGGGACAGGAAGUACCCCAGCAGGGAGGUCCCGAAGGCGAACUUAGCAGCUCCCAUGACGCCCAGCUUGAACUUCUUCAUGACCACACCCCCUGAGAACAUCCCCAGAGCCACUGCAGGGAUGUUGACCGUGCCUGAAGAGCAGAACAGACGUCAGCCAUGCAUGCACAGCACAUAGAGGGAAGUUGAAAGAAC